rnacentral:tRNA from 1 species
GGGGCCGUAGCUCAGUUGGGAGAGCGCAGCGUUCGCAACGCUGAGGUCAGGGGUUCGAACCCCCUCGGCUCCA